rnacentral:rRNA from 2 species
GGAUCCAGACUUUGAUUAUGGCUCAGGAUGAACGCUAGCUACAGGCUUAACACAUGCAAGUCGAGGGGAAACGACAUCGAAAGCUUGCUUUUGAUGGGCGUCGACCGGCGCACGGGUGAGUAACGCGUAUCCAACCUGCCCAUCACUUGGGGAUAACCUUGCGAAAGUAAGACUAAUACCCAAUGAUAUCUCAAGAAGACAUCUGAAUGAGAUUAAAGAUUUAUCGGUGAUGGAUGGGGAUGCGUCUGAUUAGCUUGUUGGCGGGGUAACGGCCCACCAAGGCGACGAUCAGUAGGGGUUCUGAGAGGAAGGUCCCCCACAUUGGAACUGAGACACGGUCCAAACUCCUACGGGAGGCAGCAGUGAGGAAUAUUGGUCAAUGGACGAGAGUCUGAACCAGCCAAGUAGCGUGCAGGAUGACGGCCCUAUGGGUUGUAAACUGCUUCUAUAAGGGAAUAAAGUGAGCCUCGUGAGGCUUUUUGCAUGUACCUUAUGAAUAAGGACCGGCUAAUUCCGUGCCAGCAGCCGCGGUAAUACGGAAGGUCCGGGCGUUAUCCGGAUUUAUUGGGUUUAAAGGGAGCGUAGGCCGGAGAUUAAGCGUGUUGUGAAAUGUAGAUGCUCAACAUCUGCACUGCAGCGCGAACUGGUUUCCUUGAAUACGCACAAAGUGGGCGGAAUUCGUGGUGUAGCGGUGAAAUGCUUAGAUAUCACGAAGAACUCCGAUUGCGAAGGCAGCUCACUGGAGCGCAACUGACGCUGAAGCUCGAAAGUGCGGGUAUCGAACAGGAUUAGAUACCCUGGUAGUCCGCACGGUAAACGAUGGAUGCCCGCUGUUGGUCUGAAUAGGUCAGCGGCCAAGCGAAAGCAUUAAGCAUCCCACCUGGGGAGUACGCCGGCAACGGUGCAACUCAAAGGAAUUGACGG